rnacentral:rRNA from 1 species
CCUACGGGAGGCAGCAGUGGGGAAUAUUGCACAAUGGGCGAAAGCCUGAUGCAGCGACGCCGCGUGAGGGAUGACGGCCUUCGGGUUGUAAACCUCUUUCAGCAGGGAAGAAGCGAAAGUGACGGUACCUGCAGAAGAAGCGCCGGCUAACUACGUGCCAGCAGCCGCGGUAAUACGUAGGGCGCAAGCGUUGUCCGGAAUUAUUGGGCGUAAAGAGCUCGUAGGCGGCUUGUCACGUCGGGUGUGAAAGCCCGGGGCUUAACCCCGGGUCUGCAUUCGAUACGGGCUAGCUAGAGUGUGGUAGGGGAGAUCGGAAUUCCUGGUGUAGCGGUGAAAUGCGCAGAUAUCGGGAGGAACACCGGUGGCGAAGGCGGAUCUCUGGGCCAUUACUGACGCUGAGGAGCGAAAGCGUGGGGAGCGAACAGGAUUAGAUACCCUGGUAGUCCACGCCGUAAACGGUGGGAACUAGGUGUUGGCGACAUUCCACGUCGUCGGUGCCGCNGCUACGCAUAGUCCCGUCCGUCGGGUAGGUACGGCCGCGACGGACGUAAACCGUUAAACGUUAGUAAGUUAGUAACGGUCGUGUUAGACGUGCCGAACGGACGACGACGAGGGAGGAGG